GCAGUCGCACGAAGAAACGUUCACCUUCGGGUGAAUCAGUAAAGUGGCGCACGGGUGAGAAACGCGUGGAUAAUCUGCCUUCAAGACGGGAAUAACAUUGCGAAAGCGAUGCUAAUACCGGAUAAGCUCACGAUUUGUUUGGUUGUGGGAAAAGAUGGCCUAGUCUAUGCUAUCGCUUGAAGAUGAGUCCGCGUACCAUUAGCUUGUUGGUAGGGUAAUGGCCUACCAAGGCUUCGAUGGUUAGCUGGCCUGAGAGGGCGGCCAGCCACACUGGAACUGAGACACGGUCCAGACUCCUACGGGAGGCAGCAGUGGGGAAUAUUGCGCAAUGGGGGAAACCCUGACGCAGCGACGCCGUGUGAGUGAUGAAGGUUUUCGGAUCGUAAAGCUCUGUCAGGUGGGAAGAAUAAGGUCUGUGAAAAUAUUGCAGUCCGAUGACGGUACCACCAGAGGAAGCACCGGCUAACUCCGUGCCAGCAGCCGCGGUAAUACGGAGGGUGCAAGCGUUGUUCGGAAUUAUUGGGCGUAAAGGGCGUGCAGGCGGGUAUGCAGGUCAGGUGUGAAAUCCCUCGGCUCAACCGAGGAAGUGCAUCUGAAACCGUGUAUCUUGAGUACGAGAGAAGCAGAUGGAAUUCCCAGUGUAGAGGUGAAAUUCAUAGAUAUUGGGAAGAACACCGGUGGCGAAAGCGGUCUGCUGGCUCGAUACUGACGCUGAGACGCGAAAGCGUGGG
rnacentral:rRNA from 1 species